UACGUAGGGUGCAAGCGUUGUCCGGAAUUAUUGGGCGUAAAGAGCUCGUAGGCGGUUUGUCGCGUCUGCUGUGAAAACGCGGGGCUCAACUCCGCGCCUGCAGUGGGUACGGGCAGACUAGAGUGCAGUAGGGGAGACUGGAAUUCCUGGUGUAGCGGUGGAAUGCGCAGAUAUCAGGAGGAACACCGGUGGCGAAGGCGGGUCUCUGGGCAAUAACUGACGCUGAGGAGCGAAAGCGUGGGGAGCGAACAGG
rnacentral:rRNA from 1 species